rnacentral:rRNA from 1 species
GAUGAACGCUGGCGGCGUGCCUAAUACAUGCAAGUCGAGCGAACAGACGAGGAGCUUGCUCCUCUGACGUUAGCGGCGGACGGGUGAGUAACACGUGGAUAACCUACCUAUAAGACUGGGAUAACUUCGGGAAACCGGAGCUAAUACCGGAUAAUAUAUUGAACCGCAUGGUUCAAUAGUGAAAGACGGUUUUGCUGUCACUUAUAGAUGGAUCCGCGCCGCAUUAGCUAGUUGGUAAGGUAACGGCUUACCAAGGCAACGAUGCGUAGCCGACCUGAGCGGGUGAUCGGCCACACUGGAACUGAGACGCGGUCCAGACUCCGACGGGAGGCAGCGGUAGGGAAUCUUCCGCAAUGGGCGGAAGCCUGACGGAGCAACGCCGCGUGAGUGAUGAAGGUCUUCGGAUCGUAAAACUCUGUUAUUAGGGAAGAACAAAUGUGUAAGUAACUAUGCACGUCUUGACGGUACCUAAUCAGAAAGCCACGGCUAACUACGUG